rnacentral:rRNA from 1 species
UACGUAGGGUGCAAGCGUUGUCCAGAAUUAUUGGGCGUAAAGAGCUCGUAGGCGGUUUGUCGCGUCUGCUGUGAAAACGCGAGGCUCAACCUCGCGCCUGCAGUGGGUACGGGCAGACUAGAGUGCGGUAGGGGAGAAUGGAACUCCUGGUGUAGCGGUGGAAUGCGCAGAUAUCAGGAAGAACACCGAUGGCGAAGGCAGUUCUCUGGGCCGUAACUGACGCUGAGGAGCGAAAGCGUGGGGAGCGAACAGG